rnacentral:rRNA from 1 species
GACGAACGCUGGCGGCGUGCUUAACACAUGCAAGUCGAACGGAAAGGCCCUGCUUUUGUGGGGUGCUCGAGUGGCGAACGGGUGAGUAACAAGUGAGUAACCUGCCCUUGACUUUGGGAUAACUUCAGGAAACUGGGGCUAAUACCGGAUAGGAGCUCCUGCUGCAUGGUGGGGGUUGGAAAGUUUCGGCGGUUGGGGAUGGACUCGCGGCUUAUCAGCUUGUUGGUGGGGUAGUGGCUUACCAAGGCUUUGACGGGUAGCCGGCCUGAGAGGGUGACCGGCCACAUUGGGACUGAGGUACGGCCCAGACUCCUACGGGAGGCAGCAGUGGGGAAUAUUGCACAAUGGGCGGAAGCCUGAUGCAGCAACGCCGCGUGCGGGAUGACGGCCUUCGGGUUGUAAACCGCUUUCGCCUGUGACGAAGCGUGAGUGACGGUAAUGGGUAAAGAAGCACCGGCUAACUACGUG